rnacentral:lncRNA from 1 species
UGUGUAUGUACUAUACUCAAACAAAAAGAAAAAAAGAUCAUCUUCUUUACUUCACUUUAAAAAAAAACAACAACAAAGAAACCAGAGUUCAAAAGGAACUCGAGCCAGGGACAUUAGAUAUAUCCAUCAGUCCCCAGGAAAAUAUGCCCCUUUUAAAGGUCUGCAAGCCUUAGGUAAAAUACAAAAGGAAAUUUUAAAAAGAUGGACAACUUUGUUAAUCGUGGAAAGGGAAAUUGCCUGCACUUGUGGUAACCUGUGAAAGUAGCAAAGUUCAGAGACUAUUCACAUCACUCUUCAGCCAGUGCCCCUGGGUAGAUGGGUGAAGCUUUGCCUCCCAGUGCAGAGUGAGGCCCGAUUUGGAGCAAGUUCUUCCUUGAUGAACACGAGGAAGCCCUCCUCACCCCACCUCCAAUGCUCACCACGGUUCCUGGCACACAGCAAGCGUGCCAUUCAUGUUUGUUGAAUGGAUGGAUGGAAGAAUAAAGCAGAGUUCCUUACUGGUAAAAAUGCAGAUUGCCUAAAGGUCACCAGGUGCAGAAUUCCUUGGGAUAUGAACAAAACCAGCCCUUCUAAAAUGAAGUCAAACCUGCAGUCAGUCACAGAUUUUGGCAGCCCCAAUUUCCUCCUUCUUUUCUACUGUUUUGUGCUGAUAAUGUAUCAACAUUCCUUAAUCCCAUCCAAGUUGAAAUGUGCUUUGCCCUCAUUGAGCUUAAGCUAUAAUCUCCAAAUGUACUACCA